rnacentral:lncRNA from 1 species
UUUCUUGUUAUCUACAAACUACAGCUUCAACCUGAUUUAAUGUUACGCCUUUUUGGUUCCAACUCCUUAAACAAUUUCGAACAUUUUCCUCUUCAGGGGGCUACCUACAAUUGCAUCACAAUCUCCAUGCUGUUAGUCCUCAUAAACCUAAAGAAGAAAAUGAAGGGUAGAUAUGCGUUGCGGCAAAUGUUCUGAACAACUAGAAAGUUGCUACUGCAUUUUGUGUAACUUGCGUGUUGGGUCAGUCAAGUCUUGUUUAGAGUCCUUGGCCGUGUUUCCUCUCAGGCUAUUAUGUAGGUGCCUGGGAAAUUCUGUUGUUCUUCAAAUCUUGUAAAAGAUGUAUUUGAAUAAAUAAGAGCAUAGUUCAUAUAAGAUGUUCCGCUUCCUAGUUAUUACAAAUUUGAUAAAAGUGAUACACGAGUAGUUUUUUCUCUCGUUAUGUUAAUUGUUCUUUCUAGCAAAGCCAUUAAUGAAUCCACUGCAAUGAAAAGUGAACCAGUUUUUCUUCACGUAAAUGACCAAUAUGUUGUUACAGUUUUUCUUUAUUCAAAGCUUUUCUGUAUCCAAAGACAAAAAGGGAUCAACAAAAAAAGAAGAAGAAAAAAGAGAUCAAAUUUCAAUAGUUCUGCAAAAUUGAGGCUGCAUAACAUCACUGCAAAAUCAAAAUCACCAACAAUAAUAGAUGAUCUCUUUCAAGAUGAAUUUUCAGGGUUGAUCUGUUCUUGGAAAAUAAGGAUUGCAAGAAAAAAACAAUUGCGCAGACAACGAAAUGUCCACCAUUUCAUGGUUACAGAAAUGCCAACUGCAAUUACCAAUUGUAGGUCCAGGCCAUAAAAACAGAGUUCAAGAAUAGCCUAUGACAUAAAUAGUCAUAGAUUAUGACCCUUCCUUUCCAGCACAGCUGGUUGCUAAUCGCAUUAGAAUAAUCUUCAUCUAAGCUCGAACAUGUUCUUAACCGCCAAAAAGAGUCAGAAUACAUGCAUUUAACAUGCCUUUACCUGGUUUUUUCUCCUUUACGUAAUAACAAUACUGGUACUUUUACUGUAUUGCUGCAGAGAUUAGCUCAAUACAGGCAGAAGUUAGAUGAGAUGUUGCAUUAAGAUAUCCAAGAAUUGGUAAGCUUUAAUUGUUUCUUGUUAUCUACAAACUACAGCUUCAACCUGAUUUAAUGUUACGCCUUUUUGGUUCCAACUCCUUAAACAAUUUCGAACAUUUUCCUCUUCAGGGGGCUACCUACAAUUGCAUCACAAUCUCCAUGCUGUUAGUCCUCAUAAACCUAAAGAAGAAAAUGAAGGGUAGAUAUGCGUUGCGGCAAAUGUUCUGAACAACUAGAAAGUUGCUACUGCAUUUUGUGUAACUUGCGUGUUGGGUCAGUCAAGUCUUGUUUAGAGUCCUUGGCC